GGGCCUGUGGCGCAGCCUGGAUAGCGCAUCUGCCUUCUAAGCAGAGGGUCGUGGGUUCGAAUCCCUCCAGGCCCA
rnacentral:tRNA from 1 species